GACGUAGGGCGCGAGCGUUGUCCGGAUUUAUUGGGCGUAAAGAGCUCGUAGGCGGUGUGUCACGUCGGCCGUGAAAACCUGCAGCUUAACUGUGGGCGUGCGGUCGAUACGGGCAUCACUGGAGUUCGGCAGGGGAGACUGGAAUUCCUGGUGUAGCGGUGAAAUGCGCAGAUAUCAGGAGGAACACCGGUGGUGUAAACGGCUUUCUGGACCAUAACUGACGCUGAGGCACGAAAGCGUGGGUAGCAAACAGG
rnacentral:rRNA from 1 species